rnacentral:pre_miRNA from 1 species
ACAGUAUUACCUCCAUCCCGAAAAGUUUGUCUUAGAUUUUUGUCUAGAUACGGAUGUAUCUAGGCACGUUUUAGUGUUAGAUACAUCCAUAUUUAGACAAGCCUUUUGGGAUGGAGGGAGUAAAAC